rnacentral:lncRNA from 1 species
AUGCUCAAAAUUCUCCAAGCCAGGCUUCAGCAAUACAUGAACCGUCAACUUCCAGAUGUUCAAGCUGGUUUUAGAAAAGGCAGAGGAACCAGAGAUCAAAUUGCCAACAUCCUCUGGAUCAUCGAAAAAGGAGAAGAGUUCCAGAAAAACAUCUAUUUCUGCUUUAUUGACUAUACCAAAGCCUUUGACUGUGUGGAUCACAAUAAACUGUGGAAAAUUCUGAAAGAGAUGGGAAUAUCAGACUACCUGACCUGCCUCUUGAGAAACCUAUAUGCAGGUCAGGAAGCAACAGUUAGAACUGGACAUGGAACAAUAGACUGGUUCCAAAUAGGAAAAGGAGUCUGUCAAGGCUGUAAAUUGUCACCCUGCUUAUUUAACUUCUAUGCAGAGUACAUCAUGAGAAACGCUGGGCUGGAAGAAGCACAAGCUGGAAUCAAGAUUGCUGGGAGAAAUAUCAAUCAUCUCAGAUAUGCAGAUGACACCACGCGUAUGGCAGACAGUGAAGAAGAACUAAAGAACCUCUUGAUGAAAGUGAAAGAGGAGAGUGAAAAAGUUUGCUUAAAGCUCAACAUUCAGAAAAUGAAGAUCAUGGCAUCUGGUCCCAUCACUUCAUGGGAAAUAGAUGGAGAAACAGUGGAAACAGUGGCUGACUUUAUUUUUCUGGGCUCCAAAAUCACUGCAGAUGAUGACUGCAGCCAUGAAAUUAAAAGACGCUUACUCCUUGGAAGGAAGGUUAUGACCAACCUAGAUAGCAUAUUCAAAAGCAGAGACAUUACUUUGUCAACAAAGGUCCAUCAUCUAGUCACGGCUAUGAUUUUUCCAGUGGUCAUGUAUGGAUGUGAGAGCUGGACUAUAAAGAAGGCUGAGUGCAGAAGUAUUGAUGCUUUUGAACUGUGGUGUUGGAGAAGACUCUUGAGAGUCCCUUGGACUGGAAGGAGAUCCAACCAGUCCAUCCUAAAGGAGAUCAGUCCUGGGUGUUCGUUGGAAGGACUGAUGUUGAAGCUGAAACUCCAAUCCUUUGGCCACCUGAUGCAAAGAGCUGACUCAUUUGAAAAGACCCUGAUGUUGGGAAAGAUUGAAGGUGGGAAGAGAAGGGGAUGA